rnacentral:rRNA from 1 species
UACGAAGGGGGCGAGCGUUGUUCGGAGUUACUGGGCGUAAAGGGCGCGUAGGCGGCGAUCCAAGUUAGGCGUGAAAGCCCCGGGCUUAACCUGGGAAUAGCGCUUAAGACUGGACUGCUUGAGUGCGGGAGAGGUGAGUGGAAUUCCCAGUGUAGAGGUGAAAUUCGUAGAUAUUGGGAAGAACACCAGUGGCGAAGGCGGCUCACUGGCCCGCAACUGACGCUGAGGCGCGAAAGCGUGGGGAGCAAACAGG